CCUACGGGAGGCAGCAGUAGGGAAUAUUGCUCAAUGGGGGAAACCCUGAAGCAGCAACGCCGCGUGGAGGAUGAAGGUUUUCGGAUUGUAAACUCCUUUUGUGAGAGAAGAUGAUGACGGUAUCUAACGAAUAAGCACCGGCUAACUCCGUGCCAGCAGCCGCGGUAAUACGGAGGGUGCAAGCGUUACUCGGAAUCACUGGGCGGAAAGGGCGCGUAGGCGGGGUAGCAAGUCAGAUGUGAAAACCUAUGGCUUAACCACAGCACUGCAUUUGAAACUGUUAUUCUUGAGUGUGGGAGAGGUAGGUGGAAUUCUUGGUGUAGGGGUGAAAUUCGUAGAGAUCAAGAGGAAUACUGAUGGCGAAGGCGACCUGCUGGAACAUAACUGACGCUGAGGCGCGAAAGCGUGGGGAGCAAACAGGAUUAGAUACCCUAGUAGUC
rnacentral:rRNA from 1 species